AGUGAACGCUGGCGGUAGGCCUAACACAUGCAAGUCGAACGGCAGCACAGUAAGAGCUUGCUCUUACGGGUGGCGAGUGGCGGACGGGUGAGGAAUACAUCGGAAUCUACUUUUUCGUGGGGGAUAACGUAGGGAAACUUACGCUAAUACCGCAUACGACCUACGGGUGAAAGCAGGGGAUCUUCGGACCUUGCGCGAUUGAAUGAGCCGAUGUCGGAUUAGCUAGUUGGCGGGGUAAAGGCCCACCAAGGCGACGAUCCGUAGCUGGUCUGAGAGGAUGAUCAGCCACACUGGAACUGAGACACGGUCCAGACUCCUACGGGAGGCAGCAGUGGGGAAUAUUGGACGAUGGGCGCAAGCCUGAUCCAGCCAUACCGCGUGGGUGAAGAAGGCCUUCGGGUGGUAAAGCCCUUUUGUUGGGAAAGAAAAGCAGCAGGUUAAUACCCCGCUGUUCUGACGGUACCCAAAGAAUAAGCACCGGCUAACCUCGUG
rnacentral:rRNA from 1 species